GUGGUGGAAUUGGUAGACACAAGGGACUUAAAAUCCUUCCAGUAUCGGUUCGACUCCGAUCAUGGGCACCA
rnacentral:tRNA from 1 species